GUCUACGACCAUACCACCCUGAACACACCCGAUCUCGUCUGAUCUCAGAAGCUAAGUAGGGUUGGGCCUGGUUAGUGCUUGGAUGGGAGACCACCUGGGAAUACUAGGUACUGUAGGGG
ensembl:rRNA 5S_rRNA 5S ribosomal RNA